UUACCCGCUGAACUUAAGCAUAUCAAUAAGCGGAGGAAAAGAAACCAACAGGGAUUGCCUCAGUAACGGCGAGUGAAGCGGCAACAGCUCAAAUUUGAAAUCUGGCGCUUGCGCCCGAGUUGUAAUUUGCAGAGGAUGCUUCUGGCAAAGUGCCUUCCGAGUUCCCUGGAACGGGACGCCAUAGAGGGUGAGAGCCCCGUACGGUCGGCCGCUGCGCCGCUGUGAAGCGCCUUCGACGAGUCGAGUAGUUUGGGAAUGCUGCUCUAAAUGGGAGGUAAACUCCUUCUAAAGCUAAAUAUUGGCCAGAGACCGAUAGCGCACAAGUAGAGUGAUCGAAAGAUGAAAAGCACUUUGAAAAGAGAGUCAAACAGCACGUGAAAUUGUUGAAAGGGAAGCGCUUGUGACCAGACUUGGGCUUGGUAGUUCAGCCGUCCUUCUGGGCGGUGCACUCUGCCGGUUCAGGCCAGCAUCAGUUGUCGGUCGGGGAGAAAGAUGGCGGGAACGUGGCUCUUCGGAGUGUUAUAGCCCGCUAUUAUGCCCUUCCGGCGACUGAGGUUAGCGUUCUGCACGGAUGCUGGCGUAAUGGUUAUCAGCGACCCGUCUUG
rnacentral:rRNA from 1 species